rnacentral:rRNA from 1 species
UUCGAGUCGUUGAUUUCACACUGCCGAGAAAAGCCUCUAGAUAGAAAAUAGGUGCCCGUACCGCAAACCGACACAGGUAGUCAAGAUGAGAAUUCUAAGGUGAGCGAGCGAACUCUCGUUAAGGAACUCGGCAAAAUGACCCCGUAACUUCGGGAGAAGGGGUGCUCUUUAGGGUUAACGCCCAGAAGAGCCGCAGUGAAUAGGCCCAAGCGACUGUUUAUCAAAAACACAGGUCUCUGCUAAACCGUAAGGUGAUGUAUAGGGGCUGACGCCUGCCCGGUGCUGGAAGGUUAAGAGGAGUGGUUAGCUUCUGCGAAGCUACGAAUCGAAGCCCCAGUAAACGGCGGCCGUAACUAUAACGGUCCUAAGGUAGCGAAAUUCCUUGUCGGGUAAGUUCCGACCCGCACGAAAGGCGUAACGAUUUGGGCACUGUCUCAACGAGAGACUCGGUGAAAUCAUAGUACCUGUGAAGAUGCAGGUUACCCGCGACAGGACGGAAAGACCCCGUGGAGCUUUACUGUAGCCUGAUAUUGAAAUUCGGCACAGCUUGUACAGGAUAGGUAGGAGCCUUUGAAACGUGAGCGCUAGCUUACGUGGAGGCGCUGGUGGGAUACUACCCUAGCUGUGUUGGCUUUCUAACCCGCACCACUUAUCGUGGUGGGAGACAGUGUCAGGCGGGCAGUUUGACUGGGGCGGUCGCCUCCUAAAAGGUAACGGAGGCGCUCAAAGGUUCCCUCAGAAUGGUUGGAAAUCAUUCAUAGAGUGUAAAGGCAUAAGGGAGCUUGACUGCGAGACCUACAAGUCGAGCAGGGUCGAAAGACGGACUUAGUGAUCCGGUGGUUCCGCAUGGAAGGGCCAUCGCUCAACGGAUAAAAGCUACCCCGGGGAUAACAGGCUUAUCUCCCCCAAGAGUUCACAUCGACGGGGAGGUUUGGCACCUCGAUGUCGGCUCAUCGCAUCCUGGGGCUGUAGUCGGUCCCAAGGGUUGGGCUGUUCGCCCAUUAAAGCGGUACGCGAGCUGGGUUCAGAACGUCGUGAGACAGUUCGGUCCCUAUCCGUCGUGGGCGUAGGAAAUUUGAGAGGAGCUGUCCUUAGUACGAGAGGACCGGGAUGGACAUACCUCUGGUGUACCAGUUGUCGUGCCAACGGCAUAGCUGGGUAGCUAUGUGUGGACGGGAUAAGUGCUGAAAGCAUCUAAGCAUGAAGCCCCCCUCAAGAUGAGAUUUCCCAACUUCGGU